CUCUCUCCAGCCAUGCAAAAAGACAAAGGGCCAUAUUCAGCCUCCCUGGGAUUUUGGAGGCCAUUGGAGCUGCCUGACAAAGGGGAACAUUCCCAGAUGAAAGGGACAUGCGAGAUUACAACCCGCCAUCAGAAUCCCCACCCGGCCCUGAAUACAAUCAUGGCUCCCGGCCAAGGGAAGGAUUUGAAAGCUCCUUCCCAAAGCUCCGGUGCCCGGUUCCCGCAGAGGGUGAGGGAGCUGAGCCCGGGGCCUCCUGGGGUGCCAGCCGGCCCCUCUGCCGGCCCGGAGGGGAAGAGGCCGCCCGGGGAGCCCCCAAAGCAGCCCCGGAGGCCCCCGUGCCAUCCGGAUUGUUGGCGGGCUGCUGGGCAGCCGGUGUGAGGCGGGCAGGCCCCGCGUGGCUCCCCCGGCCGGGACUCACCCGCAGUCGGGCAUUGUGGGCGCAGACAGCGGCGUGGAGGCCGACCCUCUCCGGAGCAAUGGGACUGUGAAGUCAGGGAGAGGCCGGGGGCAGAGAUCCCGGGAUUCCCAUUUUCCUGAGCCCAGGAGACGGCCAUCAGAGCCCAGGAAGGCACGAGGGAGCCCGAGUCUGGGAGAGUCUGGGGGAGACGCAGGAUCCUGGGGUGUUCGGGAGCCCUGAGCGGGGCCAGGAGCAGCCUGACAUGGACUCACUCCAACCAUCUUCUGGGAAGGCGCUCCCCAAAGGCCCGGCAGGAAAGGUAAGCACCCAGCAAGCCACUGGUCAAAGGGCUCUCAUCUCCAAGGCAAAACAGUAGAUCAGGCCCUUACUGACGGACCUACUAUGUGCUGUGUCAGCCGGAAUAUUCAUCCAUUUAUUUACUCAACAAGCAUUGCUUAAGCACCUACUGUUUGCCAUGCAGUAUGGCCAUAGGAUCAGGAGGACCCGGCGAGGGAAGUGCUGGGCGAGGGUCCGAAGCCCUCAGGCCAGCGUCAGGGCUGACCGAGAGGACGCUGGAUGGGGGCUCGGAGUAUGAAGGAAGCGGGACUUCCCCGUAACUUGGGACAGGCCCCCUCCCACGCGGGGCUGAGACCGGACCCGGGGUUCUCCAGACGGGGCCGGGGAGCCUUGAGUCCUCAAGACUCUUUCGGGGCUGCCCGACGUCUCGUUCUCGUAACAAUGCUAAGCAUUUUAACUCCUUAACAAUCAUUUAAUAAUAGGAAUCAUUUUAAUUAUUUAUAAUAGUAAUAAUUUAAUUAUCAGAAAAUAUCAAUAAAAUACCUCACGUUUAUGUGGCGUUUUAAGGUUUGCUUGAUGGUUAUUCUUUCAUUCAAUUCUCACAAAAACCAUGGGAAGUAGGUAUUGUUAUUACAGAUGAGGAAACUGAGGCAAGCAGAUUAAAUAAUCCACACCGACAAAAGCUCAUCUGCGCCCCUUUGAGCCAGAGGACCCCAGGGCCCCGUCCCCUACACAUUCCAGACGAUGGGAGAGUUUACGUUGAUUGGGGGGCUGCCGGGCCCUCGGCCCUGGUCGGACCCACCUAGAGCCUCGUUCCGGGGGCCACACGUCGGGAAGGCCGAGCCGGAGGGCGCCCACAUCAGGCCAGACGAGCAGCAGCUGAAAAAACAGGGACUCUCGGCCUGGAGAGGAGAAGACUCAUGAUACGGGAGCCGCCUUCCAGGGCUGGCACAGGGAGCCAGGAUUGGGCUCCAAGAGGCUGGAACCACGGGCCCGGAUGGAUCCAGAGUGGGGAAGGAGCUCCGGGGCUAGCCCAGUGCCCAAGGGCUUGUGUUCUAAUGUGGGAGCCGGCCCAAGUCUGUGCAUGAUAGGAUGGGACCCCAGGGGUCUGGUGGGAGGCGCUCCUCCAGCAGGGAUCCUGCAGCAGAAGAGAGAAGGGAGGGCAUUCCGGGCAGGGGGCACAGCCCGGGCAAAGGCGAGGAGGCGGAAAUGGACUGUAAGGUCACAGGGGCAGAAUAAUGACCACUUCCCUGUUUUUUCUUCCUCACCCCAAGUUCAUCCAGCCAGCUCUGACCAAGACGGUGACUCGUGAGGCUUCCGGCAGGGCGGCCCUGGGGCUGACUCUUAAACCGGAGGCUCCAUUUAAUCACCCACUUGGAGCUGGGAGGGCCCUUGGAGGCCAUCUCGGGUAACCCUCAUCCUCCAGGGAUGUUGAAAGGCCAGAGGAGGGAAAAGCUGAGACUACCGGGCUAAUUACAUCCCGCUUCCCUAAUGUUUGCCUCUGGCCUCCCCCCAAAAACUUUCAUCAGAAGGAGAAUAAUUCAAGUCUCAUCCCCAACUGUGGCCUCGACUUCCCAAGUGCACUGGAUUAGUGGCCUCCUGCCAUGAGGGCCAAAGCCACUGGGAUUGUGCUUUGCCCAGCUUCCCGCAGCCAGUAAGAGUUAAGUGUCUGAGUCUGGAUUUGAACUCAGGGCCUCCUGGCUCCUCCGUCCACCUGCCGUGAAGCUGCCCCUCGAUGUCUUUCCUAAGUCGAGAUAGCCCGGCUGAACGACUCCGGGAACGUGGCUCCGCAGAGGGACCAUGGCCUCCUGCUCAAGGACACGCUGCUCCUUCCUUCCCUCCCACCAUGACCUUGCAUCGAGUCCACCUUCUGGGCAGCGGUCUCCCACGAUGGUCUCCCGCUGAGCUUGUGGUCCACUAGCGCUCCCAGAAUCCUUCACGUGACCCGAGCUCUAGCACCUUCCCCAUCUCAUGCCGGGAACGUGGCUCCGGGCCCGCGGAGCUCUUCGGCUCAGGCAGUUUCCAAGCAGGGAGGCCCUGGGCACCCACUGGCAAGCUCCAGCCCUCCGAGGGCUCAUGGCAGACACCGCUUCCCUGAUGCCCUUUUAUCCUGCGUAAUCCUUAAGAGGGGAAGUCAUUAACAAAGGAUCCAUCCACCAAAAUAAUGAUUAAAGUCACUCCUUAAUUAGUU